rnacentral:rRNA from 1 species
ACGAAAGUCUGACCGAGCAACGCCGCGUGAGUGAAGAAGGUUUUCGGAUCGUAAAGCUCUGUUGUAAGUCAAGAACGUGUGUGAGAGUGGAAAGUUCACACAGUGACGGUAGCUUACCAGAAAGGGACGGCUAACUACGUGCCAGCAGCCGCGGUAAUACGUAGGUCCCGAGCGUUGUCCGGAUUUAUUGGGCGUAAAGGGAGCGCAGGCGGUCAGGAAAGUCUGGAGUAAAAGGCUAUGGCUCAACCAUAGUGUGCUCUGGAAACUGUCUGACUUGAGUGCAGAAGGGGAGAGUGGAAUUCCAUGUGUAGCGGUGAAAUGCGUAGAUAUAUGGAGGAACACCAGUGGCGAAAGCGGCUCUCUGGUCUGUCACUGACGCUGAGGCUCGAAAGCGUGGGUAGCGAACAGGAUUAGAUACCCUGGUAGUCCACGCCGUAAACGAUGAGUGCUAGGUGUUAGGCCCUUUCCGGGGCUUAGUGCCGGAGCUAACGCAAUAAGCACUCCGCCUGGGGAGUACGACCGCAAGGUUGAAACUCAAAGGAAUUGACGGGGGCCCGCACAAGCGGUGGAGCAUGUGGUUUA